rnacentral:rRNA from 1 species
GACGAACGCUGGCGGCGUGCCUAAUACAUGCAAGUUGAGCGCUGAAGGUUGGUACUUGUACCAACUGGAUGAGCAGCGAACGGGUGAGUAACGCGUGGGGAAUCUGCCUUUGAGCGGGGGACAACAUUUGGAAACGAAUGCUAAUACCGCAUAAAAACUUUAAACACAAGUUUUAAGUUUGAAAGAUGCAAUUGCAUCACUCAAAGAUGAUCCCGCGUUGUAUUAGCUAGUUGGUGAGGUAAAGGCUCACCAAGGCGAUGAUACAUAGCUGACCUGAGAGGGUGAUCGGCCACAUUGGGACUGAGACACGGCCCAAACUCCUACGGGAGGCAGCAGUAGGGAAUCUUCGGCAAUGGACGAAAGUCUGACCGAGCAACGCCGCGUGAGUGAAGAAGGUUUUCGGAUCGUAAAACUCUGUUGGUAGAGAAGAACGUUGGUGAGAGUGGAAAGCUCAUCAAGUGACGGUAACUACCCAGAAAGGGACGGCUAACUACGUG